rnacentral:rRNA from 1 species
GACGAACGCUGGCGGCGUGCUUAACACAUGCAAGUCGAGCGGUAAGGCCCUUUCGGGGUACGACGAGCGGCGAACGGGUAGGAGUAACAACGUGGGUGGACCUCGCCCUCCAGCUCCUGGGAGUAAGACCUCGGGAAACGUAGGGUCGUAAUAACUGGAGUAUGACUCCACCGGUGGCAUGUCGUGGGGUGGGAAAGACCUUG